GAUGAACGCUGGCGGCGUGCCUAAUACAUGCAAGUCGAGCGAACAGACGAGGAGCUUGCUCCUCUGACGUUAGCGGCGGACGGGUGAGUAACACGUGGAUAACCUACCUAUAAGACUGGGAUAACUUCGGGAAACCGGAGCUAAUACCGGAUAAUAUAUUGAACCGCAUGGUUCAAUAGUGAAAGACGGUUUUGCUGUCACUUAUAGAUGGAUCCGCGCCGCAUUAGCUAGUUGGUAAGGUAACGGCUUACCAAGGCGACGAUGCGUAGCCGACCUGAGAGGGUGAUCGGCCACAAUGGAACUGAGACACGGUCCAGACUCCUACGGGAGGCAGCAGUAGGGAAUCUUCCGCAAUGGGCGAAAGCCUGACGGAGCAACGCAGCGUGAGUGAUGAAGGUCUUCGGAUCGUAAAACUCUGUUAUUAGGGAAGAACAAAUGUGUAAGUAACUAUGCACGUCUUGACGGUACCUAAUCAGAAAGCCACGGCUAACUACGUG
rnacentral:rRNA from 1 species